rnacentral:rRNA from 1 species
UACGGAGGAUCCAAGCGUUAUCCGGAUUUAUUGGGUUUAAAGGGUGCGUAGGCGGUUUUAUAAGUUAGAGGUGAAAAUUCGGGGCUCAACUCCGGACGUGCCUCUAAUACUGUAUGACUAGAGAAUAGAUGCGGUAGGCGGAAUGUAUGGUGUAGCGGUGAAAUGCGUAGAGAUCAUACAGAACACCGAUUGCGAAGGCAGCUUACCAAACUAUAUCUGACGUUGAGGCACGAAAGCGUGGGGAGCAA